rnacentral:rRNA from 1 species
UACGUAGGGUGCAAGCGUUGUCCGGAAUUAUUGGGCGUAAAGAGCUCGUAGGCGGCUUAGUAAGUCGGGUGUGAAACCCCCAGGCUCAACCUGGAGACGCCACCCGAUACUGCUGUGGCUAGAGUCCGGUAGGGGAGCGUGGAAUUCCUGGUGUAGCGGUGAAAUGCGCAGAUAUCAGGAGGAACACCAGCGGCGAAGGCGGCGCUCUGGGCCGGUACUGACGCUGAGGAGCGAAAGCGUGGGGAGCAAACAGG